AUGAAGAUUGUCUUCGUCAGGGAAGACCCAAUCCAAUCCACCUCCACGUCUCAACAGCGCAUCGACCGCAUGCCACAGCUCCCGCGUCCCGCACCGCCGGCUAGCAGCGCCUGCCGCGCCCUUGCGUCAGGUUGCAAGAUGGACGGAGUAACUCGUACUACCAGCCUACUCUCUCUGAUCGGGAGAAUCCACAAGCAGCUAUCAAGCAAACUCUUCGUCACCGAUUCAACGAUUCAACUUGAUUGCAUGGAGUUAAACCGUAUACAACGCUGGCCGUCGAUGUCUUGUCAGGCGUCAGUACAUCCCCUGUCCAUCCUCAACAGGAUCACAUACCACUACCAGAUUCAGAUGGCCACCAUGUACGCCUUCGCCGACGCCGGCUCCGCCGCCAUCGAGAAGGGCCGCGCGGCUGUGCUCGCACAGUACUGCGCCUUUGCAGGCCAGCUCCUCAAGUGUCCCGGCAACGUGCCGGUGUGGGGUCCUAAACGACUGCAGCGUGCGUGCGCUCUUCCAGUCCUCAGUACGUGCCCAACCGCAAAGUCUGCGGCUGUCCGCGACAUGGAAAGAGAGAAGCUGCACCAACGUCCAGCACCCCGCCGACCGACGAACCCCGCCAUCCGCCGCGUCCGGAGCUGGCCUCCACUCUGGAUCUGUCGUCCCCAUCAACACAAGCCACCGCACCCUCCUGAUCGCCAGUCCCGAUGUGCAGCCGCCGCCGACAUAGUCUACCUCGAUCAUCGCCCCGGCCCCUCCCUGCCUGCCUCUAUGUGGUGUGUUCAUCGCCGGCAGCACGAGCACCCUGCCGGCUGCCGACCGUCGAAUCCCGCCAUCCGCCGCGUCUGGAUUGGUUGGACCCGCCGCCCCUCCGGCCUGCACGCCGGAGCUCUGGCCUUCGCCGCCGCCGCCGCCGCCGCCGAUCUUCUUCUCCGGCCAUCCGCCAACCUCCUAUUCUCCUUCCCCUCCCCAACCCGCACCCUCCUCAAUCUCCAACCUCCUACACCUGUGUCGUGCUUCUCUGCUUUGGAUCGAGUUGGCCCGAUCGACCCCAUCGCCGAUGCCAAGGUCGCCGGUCCAUCGUCCUGCUCCACUCGUGUGCGCCCUCGACGCAGACGCUCCCUGAUCCUUUUUGCCGCCGCCGCCGCCGUCGGCCUCCGUCACCACGCGCCCCCUUUGAGCACACUGGAUGCAAUCUCGCAUGGCGCCGUCAUCCGCACUGUGUUUGAUGAAAUGCCCAACCACACCAACAACGCGAAUUUAGAUAUACAUGGUGGAAUCAACGAGCGUUGUUGGGAGUUUGAUGUUGCGGUAGGCCUCGGCAGUGGCAAGCUGGGAGCCGGCGAGGUAGGCGACAUCGUCGACGACGGCCGUCAUGGCCUCCACCUGUGCCCUCUUGCAGGUGGACUGCUGGUAGGCCAAGCUGUUGACGAGGAUCCGACGGCGACCACCAAGGGGAGGAUGAUCGCAUAUGGAAAAUACUGCUCCAUGGUUGUUCUUUCAGGUUGUAAUCUGCUGGUGCGGUGCUGCCCUGCUUUGAUUUGGGGAUUCAUCUGGGAUCUAAUUUUGACCGAACAAAGCUGGUUUGUUGGCUGCCGGCUGGUGUCACCUGAUGUUAAAGUUGCAUUUUCAGUCGGACACAUGUUUGUUGUUUUGCCUGCUUUUUUCUUGACUGCGCACUCUCGCCGUUCGUCGUCGUGCAAUGUUGAAGUUAUUCAUGCGGUGGGGUGGAUGAAACAAUCCUUCUGCUAUUGCCACUGCUUCCGUUCAUCAAGAUAUUUGUCCAUGCAUAUCUUCUUGAUGAACAGACAUAAAACCUUGGAUGCCCAUAAAUAUGUUAGGUCUGCAGCAACACUGAAUCUUUUCCAAUGGAUAAGGUUGCUUCUUGCCGAUGACUCCUUGGCCUCUCCUUCGAUUGACAGGAUGCUGAAGCUACACCAUCGCCGAUGGCCCCUUGGCUUCUCUUAUCCGAUUGGUAGGCUGCUGCAGCUACCAACCAAAUACAUCCACAAGAGACAUAGAAGAGAGCCGAAAAUACCCCAUGGUUUUGUUGAUGGAGGAUGA
rnacentral:rRNA from 1 species